ACUUAAGACUUUUAUAAAGUCCUUCUCCCUCAGCUGGAGGGAGCAUGGCAUUGAGCCAAGGAGACGGGACCCUCUGCUUUGUCCUCCUGCUGUGCUGCUGGCAAGAAGUGAAGACCUGGCCAAUAAGAAUGAAUUCAGGCUCAAGUUCUGGACUGCUGUCAAGUUAGUCAAGUUUUAAAAAUAUGGAUGACGAUAUGACCACAGUAUUUGGGCUCUGCAGGUGAUGCUAAAGUACAGCCGGCUGAGAACCGCUGCCCUGGGCCAGGGCCGUCCAAUAGAAACACAGCAUGAGCUGAAGAUGUGCUUUUCAUUGUCUAGUGGCCACAUUAAAAAGAUGCAGAUGAAACUCAUUGCAAUAACAUUAUUUCACGUAAUGAUUUCAACAUGUGAUCAGUGUCAAAUUACUAAUGAGAUGUUUCAGUCUUUCCAUCACGCUGGCUCUCCGCAGUUCGAUGUGUCC
rnacentral:lncRNA from 1 species